UUUCUGUUUUGGCCAUGAGGUUUGGGUUGCGUUUUGUGAGUCUGGGUGUUGUGCGUGGUGAGUCUUCGGGUUUGUGUGUUCCGUGUAGUCAGUGAAGCUUUUGUUGGAGAUUCUUGUUGCCAUAGGUGGCGAGAUUGAUAGAGGUCAAUUUCAAGGUAUAGAUAAUACGCUGCAGGAGUCAGGAUGCCACCUCGUCGUAGAGAACGAAGCAUGUUGGAUCUGAAUGCGAACGAGAUCGAAAGGGAAGCAAACCCGAGUGCUUCCGACGUAUUACGAGCAGCUGCACAUCAAUUAAUUGAUGACCUUGUGCAGAAUCCCGCGGGUCGCCAGUGUAAUUUCAAUGAAGGGGGUUGUACUGUUGAGCAAUUCAAUCGAAUGCACCCUCCUUUAUUUGAUGGGAGAGGCGAUCCAACUUUGGCGGAAGAUUGGAUUCAGGACAUUGAGGAGAUUUUACGAGUCCUAACCUGUACUGAGGAGCAAAAGGUGGCAUACGCCACAUUCAAGCUUACUGGGGAAGCGAAGAGGUGGUGGAUCUCUGAAAGGACCA